UAGAAAUAAGGAGCAUAAGUAAAAUGUCUAAAUAACUUGAUAGGAAUACAGAUUUUCGCCAACGGCCAUACCACGUUGAAUACACCAGUUCUCGUCCGAUCACUGAAGUUAAGCAACGUCGGGCGCAGUUAGUACUUGGAUGGGUGACCGCUUGGGAACACUGCGUGCCGUUGGCUUUUUUUUGCUUUUAUUUUUUUUCAAAAAACCCGUUUAAUAUCAUGGGGAUUUGUACGAAACAUAUAUUCUCUCUCUCUUGUACAUUUUUGUUGAGAAGUUCAUAUUAAAUAAAUACUAACAAGUAUAGUUAGGAACGGGUUUACCACCGUUAUAGGUGGGGAAUUGAGAAGGAGGAUCCAUAAAGUUAU